rnacentral:lncRNA from 1 species
UUCAGAACAAGUCUAGAGUGAGUUUGUAAAAAAAAUUGAAAAAAAAUUGAAAAUUCAAAGUAUUGUAUUGAAAUUAGCUUGUUUAUUUUGAGUAGAUUGAAAAAAACUAUAUACGAAGUUAAAAAAAAGAUCUUGCAAAAAGUGUACGUUGGUUGAUUUCUCGAUCAGUAAAAUCUAUUCAAAAUUUUAUUCAUCCUUCACGCCAC